UUAAAUUAUAUUAUUUGGUCCUCUAAACUAUCUACUAUUUUUGGAUAGGUUUGAGAGUUUUCUUCUAAUUGCAAAACAGUUCAAAUUGGGGACCAAGUCAACCCAAUUUUCGGCUGCACAUGAGUGUCAUAAACCCUUUUUUGGUUUAAUUAUAUAAAGCCCUUGAAGAUUUAAAGAAAUAAGAGAUUUUCCCGAAGAUUUGCUGAUGACCGAGUUUUAGUCCUGAGUUGUUGUGACACUCAAAUUGACCAAAAAUUAAGGAAAAAUCAGCCAACUUUCCUCAAUUCAUGGCCGACCACUCUUGGUGGAAGUUUCAAAGGAUGGACACUCCUAUUUUUAGCAAACUAGCUCCCUUGGCUCACCUAUAAAUAAGAGCUCAUUUCCCACUUUUUCAAUCAUCCCUCAUCCCACCAUCUCUCACUCAUUUAUCAUUCUCUCAACUCUUUUAGCUAUCUUUCUCAUUCAUCAUCCUUGCAUAAGGAUUUUAGCAAUUAAGCCUCUUAAAGAACCCUUGGUCAGCCACCUUGUAGAGCCAUCAGCAAAGGAGUAACGCAAAGAAGCGAAUGAGCCUCGUCAGUCAGAGCUCAAUUCAUGGCCGACCACUCUUGGUGGAAGUUUCAAAGGAUGGACACUCCUAUUUUUAGCAAACUAGCUCCCUUGCCUCACCUAUAAAUAAGAGCUCAUUUCCCACUUUUUCAAUCAUCCCUCAUCCCACCAUCUCUCACUCAUUUAUCAUUCUCUCAACUCUUUUAGCUAUCUUUCUCAUUCAUCAUCCUUGCAUAAGGAUUUUAGCAAUUAAGCCUCUUAAAGAACCCUUGGUCAGCCACCUUGUAGAGCCAUCAGCAAAGGAGUAACGCAAAGAAGCGAAUGAGCCUCGUCAGUCAGAGUCUUGGGUGACGGCCACUAAAUUAGGUUUAAUCUUUCUUUUCUUUAAAUUUAAUUUAAAGAUGUUUUCUAUGUUCUUGUUUACAACAAUGAUAGCUUAAUUUUAUUUAAGCUAGGAUG
rnacentral:lncRNA from 1 species